rnacentral:tRNA from 1 species
ACUAAGAUAGCUCAGUUGGAAGACCGAUAGAGUAUAAAUUGAAAGGUCCCUGGUUCGAUUCCGGGUUACGGCA